UACGAAGGGGGCUAGCGUUGCUCGGAAUUACUGGGCGUAAAGCGCACGUAGGCGGCUUUCUAAGUCGGGGGGUGAAAUCCUGGAGCUCAACUCCAGAACUGCCUUCGAUACUGGAGAGCUCGAGUCCGGGAGAGGUGAGUGGAACUGCGAGUGUAGAGGUGAAAUUCGUAGAUAUUCGCAAGAACACCAGUGGCGAAGGCGGCUCACUGGCCCGGUACUGACGCUGAGGUGCGAAAGCUAGGGGAGCAAACGGGG
rnacentral:rRNA from 1 species